GAGGGUAUAGCUAAGUGGUAGAGUGUUUGCCUAACAUGCACUAGGUCCUGGGUUCAAUCCCCAAUGUCACCA
rnacentral:tRNA from 1 species